ensembl:lncRNA
CUUAGGGACUAGUAAAGCGCUAUAUAAAUACAGGCCAUUCCUUCUGUCUGCAUUUGUAGACGGCAUCAAUUAUCAUGAGACACCAAUACCAUGCAUCAUCAUCAUCAUCAUCAUGGGUGUUUAUCUGGUUUUCGCUGUGUUCAUGAUCAGUAAGAGAAACCGCUACCACUGUACAGUAACCGAUGCUGUUGAUCUCUAUACUGUGUGUUCCACUGAGCAUAACACCAAUCACUUUGCCUGCUUUUCAGAGUUUAGCUCAGGACUUUCACCUCUGUCCAAGGUUCGAUGUGAAGAAAACCUCGAAAUCAAGAGAUCAAAUGAACAGAGAGAUGGUAUCUGGAGUGAAUGUGUGUACUCCAGGGUGAAGCUACACUGAACUGAAGCCGUUCCGACUUUGAUGCCACAUGUCUAGACAUGAACUUAUUACUGUAGCUUUGAAAUGUUUAGGCUGUUCUCUAGCUCUUUCUAACAUUAUCCUGCUCGAUCGGUUUAAAGCCUGCUCUUUUUUUCUUUGUUUUGUUCUAAAUAAAAUUUUUGUUAUCUAUUCUGUAAGACAGAGGAAUGUGAGAUGAAAGCUGACAUGUUGAUGUAAUCUCUUGCUCACUUUCUUUCUCUUUCUGUCAUUUUUAUAUGACAGACCAGUUUUUUUUUUAUCAAUAAUAAGCACAAACC